AGCUUUGUGCAGUGGCGGUAUCGUAGCCAAUGAGGUUUAUCCGAGGCACAAUUAUUGCUAAUUGGAAACUUUUUAUUGUCAACAG
ensembl:snRNA U4 U4 spliceosomal RNA